AUAAUUACUUUCGGUUUCCACUUUCCAGGUGGGGACCAAUGAGGGGCCUGUGUCUAUACUCUUUUGGCUAAUCGCAACCGUUAAAUGAAGAUCAGACGUCCAUAAAUUUAGAUUUAAGUUUCCGAUCUGUAUCUCUUUGCUUUAGUUAAAGUGAACCCCUUUUAUCAAUAAAAUAACUAUUCAGCUUUACUUUCGCACUUGCAGACUUUUCUCUAGACUCCAGGUUAACGAGUUUCUUUAGCUCAUAACAUUGCGCAAAUUCAAUACCUUUCUCUCAUAUCUCUUGGAUGGCCGGUUUUGAGGAGGAACAGAUAUUUAAAGCAAUGGCAAACCUUGAAUCAACUGCAAGCUUUCUUGAAGAACCAACAAGGGACGCGUAUAUUGAUGAAGCUGGGAAGAAAACAACACCCACUUUAAGAUUCGGCAAAAUUGACUACGACUACUGGAAGUCC